UACCUGGUUGAUCCUGCCAGUAGUCAUAUGCUUGUCUCAAAGCUUAAGCCAUGCAAGUGUAAGUUCACGCCACGCAUUAGAACGGGCGAAACCGCGAAUGGCUCAGGAACCGGACCUAAUCCUCGGGACCGUAAUCCUCCUCGGAGGCGAUGGAUAACUGUGGCAAUUCUAGAGCUAAUACAUGUGACACAGGCCGCGAUCGGUCGGCGCGUCGCCGUCGCCUGCGUGCCGUCACGCGCGUGGGCACCCGCGUCGACCGUUACGGGUCGCGGCGCUACAUAUUAGACUGAGACCGAUGCGCGUCAUUCCGUCCUCUCGUCGUGGUCGUCGUUGUCGUCACUGUCGCCUUGAGCGGCGGUCGGCGGCGGCGUUUCGCGGCGGGGCCAAAGGGCGGCGCGCUCCGCUUUGGUGACUCUGGAUAACUCACUGGUCGAUCGCACUGGCUUUCACGCCUGGCGACGGGUCUCUCGAGGGUCCGCCCUAUCAACUGUCGACGGUCGGUUAAGUGCCUACCGUGGUUACUACGGGUAACGGGGAAUCGGGGUUCGAUUCCGGAGAGGGAGCAUGCGAAACGGCUACCACAUCCAAGGAAGGCAGCAGGCGCGCAAAUUACCCCUCCCGGCACGGGGAGGUAGUGACGAAAAAUAACGACGCGGGACUCUGUCGAGGCCCCGCGAUCGGAAUGAGUACACUUCAAAUCCGUUAACGAGGACCAACCGGAGGGCAAGUCUGGUGCCAGCAGCCGCGGUAAUUCCAGCUCCGGUAGCGUAUAUUAAAGUUGUUGCGGUUAAAAAGCUCGUAGUCCGAACUCGGGUUC
rnacentral:rRNA from 1 species